rnacentral:pre_miRNA from 1 species
CAGAAUAUGGGCAAUCAGGAAAUAGCUAGUUACAAAAGGUUACCUAAUAGUUCACGUACUCUGUCUGUUAGUGUAAUCGCUUUGCGUUCGUCGACAAUUUGCUCAUAGACAC